GACGAACCGUGCGAACGUUGUUCGGAAUCACUGGGCUUAAAGGGCGCGUAGGCGGGCCGUCCAGUCCGGGGUGAAAGCUUUCGGCUCAACCGGAAAAGUGCCUCGGAUACUGACGGCCUUGAGGGAGGUAGGGGCAAGCGGAACUUCCGGUGGAGCGGUGAAAUGCGUUGAUAUCGGAAGGAACGCCGGUGGCGAAAGCGGCUUGCUGGACCUCUGCUGACGCUGAGGCGCGAAAGCCAGGGGAGCGAACGGG
rnacentral:rRNA from 1 species